UGGGAAUCAAUCCCAAGGUCUUCCCCAUGCCAGGUUUACUCUGCCUUUCCCUGAAGCUCCCAUGUACAAUCAUGUAGAACUGUGCUGUUUCUGGUAUCUUUCAUUCAAGAUGAUACUUCAAAGAGCUAUCAUGAGGAUUAAAUGGAUCAGUGUGGACCCUGGGAAAUUGUGCCAGAAGAAGGACGGAGGGGAUAAAGUGAAGAAUGAAGCCGAGGGCAAGCAACGAAAAGAAGGACAGACCUUUGAUAUUUAUUGGAGAUGAGCCACAGUUGAUAUGAAAAUGCAUCAGCAAAGACAGUAACUCUUCCU